GCGGGCGUGGCGGAACGGUAGACGCUGCGGACUUAAAAUCCGCUCCCGCAAGGGGUGCAGGUUCAAGUCCUGCCUCCGGCACCA
rnacentral:tRNA from 1 species